rnacentral:rRNA from 1 species
CCUACGGGAGGCAGCAGUGGGGAAUAUUGGGCAAUGGACGCAAGUCUGAACCAGCAAUGCCGCGUGCAGGAAGACGGCUCUAUGAGUUGUAAACUGCUUUUGUACGGGGGUAGACGCAGAUACGCGUAUCUGUCUGAAAGUAUCGUACGAAUAAGGAUCGGCUAACUCCGUGCCAGCAGCCGCGGUCAUACGGAGGAUUCAAGCGUUAUCCGGAUUUAUUUGGUUUAAAGGGUGCGUAGGCGGUCGUAUAAGUUAGAGGUGAAAUCCCGGGGCUCAACUUCGGAAUUGCCUUUGAUACUGUUCGGCGAGAGAGUAGGUGAGGUAGGCGGAAUGUAUGGUGUAGCGGUGAAAUGCUUAGAGAUCAGACAGAACACCGAUUGCGAAGGCAGCUUACCAAGCUACUUCUGACGUUGAGGCACGAAAGCGUGGGGAGCAAACAGGAUUAGAUACCCUUGUAGUC